rnacentral:rRNA from 1 species
AGAUCAAAUUGUUGGUCGUGCCUCGGUACGUACUGGCAUUAUUGAUUUCUCCUUUCUGAAGAACCUUGAUGUCAUUAAUUUGGUGUCUUGGGGAAUCAGGACUGUUACUUUGAAAAAUUAGAGUGUUUAAAGCAGGCUCGCGCUUGAAUACAUUAGCAUGGAAUAAUGAAAUAGGACGCUUGAUUCUAUUUUGUUGGUUUCUAGGAUCGACGUAAUGAUUAAUAGGGAUAGUUGGG